GGCGACCUCUGAAUCCUCUCUUUCUCUCUUCUUUUUCAAACGCUAUCACAUCUUAGAGCACCGUCACUACAAAUUUCACCCAAUUCCCUUUGAUUCCCAAUCGGAUAUGGAAUCAUUUGGUGAUUUACUGCCAUAUACGACCUGAGACCUCUACUGGUUUUUCUAUUUUCAUGUUACUUGAUGGGAUCUCAAGGGAUUCGAACCACGUUUAGUUCAAAUCUAUCAUCUUUUCAAAUUAUCCGCCUAUAUUCAACCCUAUGUCUGUGAGUACUAUCACUUUCGUGUUUUCAUGACUUUCAAUCUCUGGUUCAAAUAAUAUUUUUCGCCUUUGUUCAUUUUUUAUAAAAACUUAGUUAUCUCUGGUUAAAUCCGUUAGAUCUUAUUAGAUCUGAAGAGUUUUGAGUUAUUUCCUUUAGAUUUAUCUCUUUUUAGUGUUAUUGUCAACCUAUUUAAUUUUUCCCUAAAAUCUAUGGUUCCGAUUUUUCUAAGAGAUUUCUGCAAAAUAUUUUAAACGUUUAGGCAUUUAUCAAACUUGGUUUUCCUCUUUGCUUCUUUCAACUGAUCUUUCUUGAGUUUCAUCUCUAUGACUUUACACCUUAGGGGUUUCAAUUAUCUGACUAUUGAUUAGAAUGUUUUACUCGGUUACCUAGCUCAGACAAUUAACGUGUUAAUUUAUUCACUUUACUAAUUAGGAUUUGAAAUUAUGUUACUCUUAUAAAAUUGAUAUUUCCUUAUAGGAUUUUUACCCUUUAUUUCCCUAUGUUGAUUAAUAAUUGGUACUCCCUCCCUUAAUUCCUCUACUCGUCUGAUUUCUGAUCUAUGGACUUACUACUUACCUUAUUUAAAGCCUAAAUCUUGUCUGUUGAUUUACUCUGUGUCAGAUUAUCUUUAAUUUAAGGAAUACUUACUUAAUUCUUUUUAUUAACUAAUUCUUGUUAGCCCUAAUUGAUGGACUAAUUUAUCUCUCUACCUUAUUUGUGUGUAAUUGAUUUCCUACCAUAUUUGUUUGCUUUACUGUAUGCUAUAAAAUCCUUUCAUUAUUUUGACACACAAACACACUCAGAAAUAAACAACACAUACACAUACACACACACAUACAAAAACAAUUGCUCUCAUUCAAACCUUUCUGUUACUUGUGUUAGCUACAUUGUCUAGCCGGUUGAAAGCCAAUUGUAAACUAUUGGAUUCUGCAUACUUUCAACUUCCUGUUUGCUAUUUCCUAACUGGCAUGUCUCCAUUCCUAUUAUCAUUCAAUAUGGUAUGGAGUUGAACCUAUGUGUUUUCCUAUUUAUUGCUCUUAAUAAAAUGACCACUAUUGUAUAGUUCACUCUUGUGUUUCCUGUUUCUUGCUCGCAAUUAGCAUGAUUACUAUUGUGUAUGAAUUUCCUUAUCAUUGCUUUAAAUUAGCAAGACUACUUCUGUUGCUAUGUCCUAUUCAGUAUGUUGUGGAAUCUGACUAUUGUAAAAUGUCAACCUGUCUUUGCCUGUGUUAUAUUUCUGACAACUAGCAUGCCAUUAACUCUCAUGAAAUUUUCUUGUUAAAUAGGUCAAUAUGGUUCACAUACUAGCAUGUUCUUCUUUGAUACAAGGUGCUUAUCUACUUGUUUUUCUCAACUAGCAUGCUUGCCAUAUUUUAUGUGUUCCUGACUUCUAUGUUCCAAACCCCUGCUACCUUUCUCUGUGUAGUUAUCUGUUUAUUAUUCUGUUCCCAGCAUACUAUCUAACCACCUAGUGAUGAUUAAUGAAUGAAGUCAAAUAUAAGCAAUGUGAAACUUUGUUUGAAGUGGUUAUGAUCCUAUUUCUGUCUACUGUUGAUUGCUGGAAUCUUUGUUUAAAUUCUAAGUGUUGAAAUAACUGUUUGUUCUUAUUUACUCCUAAAAUCCAAAUGUUUUCUUAAAACUAUCUCCUAUUUCAUGUAAUAUUUUCAACUCCUACUCUUAGAAUAUCUAUGGUCCUGACCCUCUAGUGUGAGCACUGCCUAGGAUUCCAUGAGACUGCUCUGAAUUCUGAUACACUUGGGCUGUUUUUUCCAAACUUUUUCACAAAACUUUUUCUUUAAAAGGGUUUUUGGUGUGAGCAUUUCCGGGGGUCCUUGAGGCCCUUGGGAACUUUGAUGCACCAGAAGCCAUUUGGUGUACUAUGAGAUACUGGCAUAUUUCAAACUUGGUUGAAGUCUUUGUUUCUAGGUUUACUUUUGGGCCUAUCUAGGCUCCAUAUAGUAUAGCAAUUUCAUUAUGUAAUUCAUUUAUAUUUGGUCUGUAAUAAUAAUUCCUGUAAAAUUAGAUAUUGGUGUUAUUAGUAAAACCGAGAAGGGAUUUUUAUAAAUAACUUUGUGGGCGAUCGGGUAGAAACCAUGUCUAUCGGACUAUUUUAUGAUAUUUAUUUGCAUUAGAAACCAUGUUCACAUGGUUUAUCUCAUUAUCUUGAAUUUUUAUCCUAGAAAUCAUGCUUCUAGGUCGUAUACCCAUUCUGCGGUAAUCAUAUCUUCAAAACCUCUAUGUGUGCAUUAGAAAUCAUGUUUUUGGAAUAUUUUGUUGCUCUCACUUGGCAAUUAGUUGACACCUUUAUUCGCCUA
rnacentral:lncRNA from 1 species